AUUGAACGCUGGCGGCAGGCCUAACACAUGCAAGUCGAGCGGAUGAAGGGAGCUUGCUCCUGGAUUCCGCGGCGGACGGGUGAGUAAUGCCUAGGAAUCUGCCUGGUCGUGGGGGAUAACGUCCGGAAACGGGCGCUAAUACCGCAUACGUCCUGAGGGUGAAAGUGGGGGAUCUUCGGACCUCACGCUAUCAGAUGAGCCUAGGUCGGAUUAGCUAGUUGGUGGGGUAAAGGCCUACCAAGGCGACGAUCCGUAACUGGUCUGAGAGGAUGAUCAGUCACACUGGAACUGAGACACGGUCCAGACUCCUACGGGAGGCAGCAGUGGGGAAUAUUGGACAAUGGGCGAAAGCCUGAUCCAGCCAUGCCGCGUGUGUGAAGAAGGUCUUCGGAUUGUAAAGCUCUUUAAGUUGGGAGGAACGGAUGUAAGUUAAUACCUGGCUGUUUUGACGUUACCAAAAGAAUAAGCACCGGCUAACUUCGUG
rnacentral:rRNA from 1 species